rnacentral:rRNA from 1 species
GACGAACGCUGGCGGCGUGCUUAACACAUGCAAGUCGAACGGAAAGGCCCUGCUUGCAGGGUACUCGAGUGGCGAACGGGUGAGUAACACGUGGGUGAUCUGCCCUGCACUUCGGGAUAAGCCUGGGAAACUGGGUCUAAUACCGGAUAGGAGCCAUUUUUAGUGUGAUGGUUGGAAAGUUUUUUCGGUGUAGGAUGAGCUCGCGGCCUAUCAGCUUGUUGGUGGGGUAAUGGCCUACCAAGGCGGCGACGGGUAGCCGGCCUGAGAGGGUGGACGGCCACAUUGGGACUGAGAUACGGCCCAGACUCCUACGGGAGGCAGCAGUGGGGAAUCUUGCACGAUGGGCGCAAGCCUGAUGCAGCGACGCCGCGUGGGGGAUGACGGCCUUCGGGUUGUAAACUCCUUUCGCUAGGGACGAAGCUUUUUGUGACGGUACCUAGAGAAGAAGCACCGGCUAACUACGUG